GGUCGGUUAGCUCAGUUGGUUAGAGCGUGGUGCUAAUAACCCCAAACGCCAAGGUCGCGGGUUCGACCCCCGUACUGACCA